UACGUAGGGGGGCAAGCGUUUGUCCGGAAUCAUUGGGGCGUAAAGGGCGCGUAGGCGGCCCAGUAAGUCCGCUGUAAAAAGUCAAAGGCUCAACCUUUUGAAUGCCGGGUGGAUACUGCUGGGGCUAGAGUCCGGAAAGAGGCGAGUGGAAUUCCUGGUGUAGCGGUGGAAUGCGCAGAUAUCGGGGAAGAACACCCCUGGCGAAGGCGGCUCUCUGGGG
rnacentral:rRNA from 1 species